UAGGGAAUCUUCGGCAAUGGGGGCAACCCUGACCGAGCAACGCCGCGUGAGUGAAGAAGGUUUUCGGAUCGUAAAGCUCUGUUGUAAGAGAAGAACGUGUGUGAGAGUGGAAAGUUCACACAGUGACGGUAACUUACCAGAAAGGGACGGCUAACUACGUGCCAGCAGCCGCGGUAAUACGUAGGUCCCGAGCGUUGUCCGGAUUUAUUGGGCGUAAAGCGAGCGCAGGCGGUUUAAUAAGUCUGAAGUUAAAGGCAGUGGCUUAACCAUUGUUCGCUUUGGAAACUGUUAAACUUGAGUGCAGAAGGGGAGAGUGGAAUUCCAUGUGGAGCGGUGAAAUGCGUAGAUAUAUGGGGGAACACCGGUGGCGAAAGCGGCUCUCUGGUCUGUAACUGACGCUGAGGCUCGAAAGCGUGGGGAGCAAACAGG
rnacentral:rRNA from 1 species